rnacentral:pre_miRNA from 1 species
AAAAAGACAAACCCUGGGUUUCCGUGUCCAACGUUUGACUCUCCGUCUUAUAUGAAAUUUUUUUAUAAUUAGUAUUUUCAUUGUUGUUAGAUGAUAAAACAUGAUUAAUACUUUGUGUGACUUGUAUUUUUUUAUUUUUUUCAUAAUUUUUUUAAAUAAGACGAACGGUCAAACGUUGGACACGGAAACCCAAGGUUUGUCUUUUU